rnacentral:rRNA from 1 species
UACGUAGGGUGCAAGCGUUAAUCGGAAUUACUGGGCGUAAAGCGUGCGCAGGCGGUUUUGUAAGUCAGAUGUGAAAUCCCCGGGCUUAACCUGGGAAUGGCAUUUGGGACUGCAAGGCUUGAGUGCGGCAGAGGAGACUGGAAUUCCUGGUGUAGCAGUGAAAUGCGUAGAUAUCAGGAGGAACACCGAUGGCGAAGGCAGGUCUCUGGGCUGACACUGACGCUCAUGCACGAAAGCGUGGGGAGCAAACAGG